UGCCCCAUGGCUGAGUUGGUUACAGCGUCCGACUGUUAGACCAUGUGGUCGCUGCAAUCGGAAGGUCGUGAGUUCGAGCCUCACUGGGGCAG